UACGUAGGUGGCAAGCGUUAUCCGGAAUUAUUGGGCGUAAAGCGCGCGCAGGCGGUCCUUUAAGUCUGAUGUGAAAGCCCACGGCUUAACCGUGGAGGGUCAUUGGAAACUGAGGGACUUGAGUACAGAAGAGGAGAGUGGAAUUCCACGUGUAGCGGUGAAAUGCGUAGAGAUGUGGAGGAACACCAGUGGCGAAGGCGACUCUCUGGUCUGUAACUGACGCUGAGGUGCGAAAGCGUGAGGAGCGAACAGGAUUAGAUA
rnacentral:rRNA from 1 species